GAUGAACGCUGGCGGCGUGCCUAACACAUGCAAGUCGAGCGAUUCUCUUCGGAGAAGAGCGGCGGACGGGUGAGUAACGCGUGGGUAACCUGCCCUGUACACACGGAUAACAUACCGAAAGGUAUGCUAAUACGAGAUAAUAUGCUUUUAUCGCAUGGUAGAAGUAUCAAAGCUUUUGCGGUACAGGAUGGACCCGCGUCUGAUUAGCCAGUUGGUAAGGUAACGGCUUACCAAGGCGACGAUCAGUAGCCGACCUGAGAGGGUGAUCGGCCACAUUGGAACUGAGACACGGUCCAAACUCCUACGGGAGGCAGCAGUGGGGAAUAUUGCACAAUGGGCGAAAGCCUGAUGCAGCAACGCCGCGUGAGCGAUGAAGGCCUUCGGGUCGUAAAGCUCUGUCCUCAAGGAAGAUAAUGACGGUACUUGAGGAGGAAGCCCCGGCUAACUACGUGCCAGCAGCCGCGGUAACAC
rnacentral:rRNA from 1 species